rnacentral:lncRNA from 1 species
CUAAAUUAACAAUUUGAACUUUUUAAACUGUUUAAAUUAACAAUUUGAAUUUUUAAAUUAAAAAUUUAAAUUAACUAUUUUAUUGUUAAAUAGUUUUUAAAUAUUUAGGGCCCUUUUUUCUGUAAUUUUGUUGAGGGAAAUCAAGUCACUCAAUUAAUUGAAAGAUUAUGGAAAAUUUUGAAUUUUGAGAAGUUUGAAUAAUCAAAGAAAACAUGUAUAAGAGAUUUAUACAAGAGAUUGGAAAAUAUAACAUAUUUUUUAAAUUUUUAUUAUUUGAUAGGAUUAAGUUAUGGACGCUAAAGGGUAAUGUUCUAACACCUUUCUUUGAAUCAUGAUGGUUUAUUUAAAGAGUGUAUGGCUCAAAUCUCUCACUCCGUAGGUCUCUUAUGAUCAAUAGUCUGGAUCUAAUCUCCUUAAAGAUGGCUAGCCCAAAGAAACCGUAGCUCUAGAGAAAUUCUUUAAAUUGGGGCCCAAUCUCCACACUUUCUCUACCCCUUCUCAUCUCUCUCUCUCUCUCUCUGUCUCUCUUCUAUCUCUUAGUGACACAUCACCCUCUCUCAUCUCUCCAGCCCAUCGUUCUUCCUUAAAUAAUAUUUAGAAAAGAGUAAAGGGGGCACACCCCAUCCAUAGUAGGAAGAAGAGGAGGGCCGCCCCAAGCUUUAUGAAAUGGGG